GGCGAGGUCGCAUAGUGGCCGAGUGCAGCCGCCUUGAAAGCGGCCGGGCGGAGACGUCCCGUGGGUUCGAAUCCCACCCUCGCCG
rnacentral:tRNA from 1 species